GGAAGGGUCUAGUCGAUUCAGAAACUCAGACUUUUGUAAUGUUUCUCAACGACUCAUGUAGUAAUUGCUGUAAUCUGUUCUCCAUAGGCUAGCAAGUCAUCUAAGACCAUCUGAAUCAUAGUUUCUGACUAAUAAGCUGAAGUUAAGGUCUGAGCUGAGGCUACCGAGUCAUCUGAAUCAUAAUUUUCUGUCUGAUAAGCCGAGGCGAAGGUCUGAGGCUACCGAGUUAUCUGAAUCAUAGUUUUCCGUCUGAUCAGCUGAGGUAAAGUUCUGAGGCUAGCAAGUCAUCUGAGACCAUCUGAUCAUGAAUCAUAGUUUUCUGUCUGAUAAGCUGAAGUGAAGGUCUGAGCUGAGAGGGCUACUGUCUGUUUUACAAAGGGAAACGAGGCAAGUUAGGUGAUGUUGGUGGAGCUUUGUCGUGUACUCGACUUUGAGCGGUGUUAAUGUGUAAUUUGUUGAUGACGAUACUCGCUGGUGACUGAGAAUUACUAAUUGUCACGAUAUAUCCUUAAAAGUAAUCAAGUGCGAAAAAGAAAGAGCCUGAACGAAAUGGUGACCUGUUUUUGUGAUAUUUGAGAAGUAGCCUGCGAGAAAACUGUCUUUACAGCUCUUCUGAGCAGGGUGGGGUAAGGGAGAGCAAGGAGAACCAGACAGGAUGUGUGAAGGAUUGAUAUAGCUGAUAGUCAUUUGGUGUUUAAAUACUUGCGCCAUAAAGUUGUAUUCGUAAUCAAAGAUGAAAAACUAACAAAAAAUACCAAUUAAUCAAGUAAUUAACACACAGGCGACUUUUCGAAUCCUUUCUCUUACACUGUUGAUCGCGUGUACAAGCCAGAUUAAUAUUAUGAGGUCAUGAGCCAGAGCGCUAAUCUUUCAUGGAAUGAGGGAAAAACCCCUUUUUGAUCAUUUGUAAUUCAACUUUUGGUUUCGUUUUCAGUCAUUUUCCAUACACUGGAAGGUUCUAGUCGAUUCAGAAACUCAAACUUUUCCAAUGUUUCUCAACGACUCGUGUAGUAAUUGCUGUAAUCUGUUCUCCAUAGGCUAACAAGUCAUCUGAGAUCAUCUGAAUCAUGGUUUUCUGUCUGAUCAGCUGAAGUGAAGGUCUGAGCUGAGGCUAGCAAGUUAUCUGAGACCAUCUGAAUCAUAGCUUUCUGUCUGAUCAGCUAAAGUGAAGGUCUGAGCUGAGGUACGUAUUCGAUACAUAAUAGAUGCAUAAUCUUUGUUGACGCAUUUUGAAUCCAUACGCAUUGUCUGUAUUUUAGAUCUGGUUUCUCGUGGGGAAUGAAGUAUUCAAAUUUUGCUUAAUACUUAAAAAUGCUGCUGUUGUAUGUGUUUUUUCUCAACGUUAGUCAAUCAUAUGCAUAAGACAUCCAGAAAUUGGCGACACUGAUCACUUGAUAUCACUGAAGUUUAUUGAAGGUCAUUCAACUUUCCGUACCAAACGUGCUUUCCGACCUCAACUUUAUACCCGAAUAUUCAAUUGUUUCGUAUUCAUUUUUCAAAGGGCGACAGUGUGUUUUUCAAAGGGAAAGGAGGCAAGUCAGGUGAUCUAGCUAAUGAUGGAGCUUUGUGGCGUAUUCGACUUUGAGCGGUGUUAAUGUGUAUUUUGUUGAUGACGUUACUCGCUGGUGACUGAGAAUUGCUAAUUGUCACGAUAUAUCCUUAAAAGUAAUCAAGUGCGAAAAAGAAAGAGCCUGAACGAAAUGGUGGACUGUUUUUGUGAUAUUUGAGAAGUAGCCUGCGAGAAAACUCUCCUUACAGCUCCUCUGAGCAGGGUGGGGUAAGGGAGAGCAAGGAGAACUAGACAGGAUCUGUCAAGGAUUGAUAUAGCUGAUAGUCAUUUGGUGUUUAAAUACUUGCGCCAUAAAGUUGUAUUCGUAAUCAAAAAUGAAAAACUAACCAAAAAUACCAAUUAAUCAAGUAAUUAACACACAGGCGACUUUUCGAAUCCUUUCUCUUACACUGUUGAUCGCGUGUACAAGCCAGAUUAAUAUUAUGAGGUCACGAGCCAGAGCGCUGAUCUUUCAUGGAAUGAGGGAAAAACCCCUUUUUGAUUAUUUGUAAUUCAAGUUUUGGUUUCGCUUUCAGUCAUUUUCCAUGCACCGGAAGGGUCUAGUCGAUUCAGAAACUCAGACUUUUCCAACGUUUCUCAACGACUCGUGUAGUAAUUGCUGUAAUCUGUUCUCCAUAGCCUAGCAAGUCAUCUGAGAUCAUCUGAAUCAUAGUUUUCUGUCUGAUCAGCUGAAGUGAAGGUCUGAGCUGAGGCUAACAAGUCAUCUGAGACCAUCAAUCAUAGUUUUCUUCCUGAUCAGCUGAAAUGAAGGUUUGAGCUGAGGAUUCCGAGUCAUCUGAAUUAUAGUCUUCUGUUCAGCCCAAGUGAAGGCCUGAGUUAAUCUCUCCUCGUUUUCGCCUUAUUGUCCUUGCCGAUGUGAUUGUUAUAAAUCAAGUCAUGGCGGAAAGUGAAAUUAAGUCACGUGAAGCAAGGGUAGAUUUUGAUGAAGAUUUUUUAGCAGGUAAGAAGGCAAAACUGGAAAUAACUUUACAAGCAAUGAAGUAUUUAUCAUUGGU